rnacentral:rRNA from 1 species
GAUGAACGCUGGCGGCGUGCUUAACACAUGCAAGUCGAACGGAAAGGCCCAAGCUUGCUUGGGUACUCGAGUGGCGAACGGGUGAGUAACACGUGGGUGAUCUGCCCUGCACUUCGGGAUAAGCCUGGGAAACUGGGUCUAAUACCGGAUAGGACGAUGGUUUGGAUGCCAUUGUGGAAAGUUUUUUUCGGUGUGGGAUGAGCUCGCGGCCUAUCAGCUUGUUGGUGGGGUAAUGGCCUACCAAGGCGUCGACGGGUAGCCGGCCUGAGAGGGUGUACGGCCACAUUGGGACUGAGAUACGGCCCAGACUCCUACGGGAGGCAGCAGUGGGGAAUAUUGCACAAUGGGCGCAAGCCUGAUGCAGCGACGCCGCGUGGGGGAUGACGGCCUUCGGGUUGUAAACUCCUUUCGCUAGGGACGAAGCGUUUUUGUGACGGUACCUGGAGAAGAAGCACCGGCUAACUACGUG